UAUACUGUGAAAAUAAUAUAUAAAUAUACUGUAUAUUAUAUAUACUGUGAAAAUAAUGCUGAUAGCAUUAUUAUUAAGGAUCUUAAAUAAUAUUCAUAAUGUACUAUUGACUUAUCUGACAUAUGACCAGUUCUCAGAAAAUGUCAACUAUUGUUAUCAUUAUGGUUCCUAAUUUUGGCAAAGGUGAGAGAAUGUACAUGACUCUGUGAUGACACAGAUGGCGAAACAGUGAUGGUGAGCAUGUGAAAUCAUUGCAUCCUUCUGGAGAGCCACUUUGCAGAUACGGAUCUGAAUUUUAAAUGCAUGUAACCCCAAAACCAAGAAUCUCACUUCUAUUGAUGUACUUUUUUCUAAAAACAGACAGUCAGGUUUAAAAGUAUUUCAAAUAUUUGUCCACUGCAGCAUUUUUAUUAAAGAAAAAUAAAGCUUAGUUCUCAAGACUAUUUCAACUUUUUUAGUCUUUCCAGUCACAUUAGGCCUUUGGAUGACAUUUUUUUUUUUACAAAAAAAUAUACUAGUUGUCUCUGCCUUAGUACCUUUAUCUGUCUGUUUUCUCAGUAUACAAAAUUCUUUCUCAAGAGAUUCACAAUUCAUUACUUCUCCUUGCUGAUAUCUUCCUUAUACAUCAGUCUCAGUAAUACUACCUUUGAUCACUCUAUAUAAAUCAUAAUAAUCUUCCUUCUCUACUAGAUUCCCCCCGUCUUCUAUUUUUUCUAUUAAAGUAAUGAUGAUUGUUAGAUAUAACCCUCAAAUCCCAGUGUUAACACAACAAAGGGUAUUUCUUAUAAAUAGGAAGUAAUUGUGGAUAUUUAGUAGGUGAUCCAAGAAUCCAGUGUCUUUGAAAUUUGUGAUUCUGACUUCAGCAGUUGGAUUCCAAGAUUACCAAGAAAGUUAAAAUCAAGGUCAGAGAACUUCCCAGGGAUUUUCACAUACUUCUUGGAAAUGCUCCACUUCAUAUCUGUUCACAUUUU
rnacentral:lncRNA from 1 species